CCUACGGGAGGCAGCAGUGAGGAAUAUUGGUCAAUGGACGAGAGUCUGAACCAGCCAAGUAGCGUGAAGGAUGACUGCCCUAUGGGUUGUAAACUUCUUUUAUAUGGGAAUAAAAUGUUCCACGUGUGGGAUUUUGUAUGUACCAUAUGAAUAAGGAUCGGCUAAAUCCGUGCCAGCAGCCGCGGUAAUACGGAGGAGCCGAGCGUUAGCCGGAUUUAGUGGGUUUAAAGGGAGCGUAGGUGGAUUGUUAAGGCAGUUGUGAAAGUUUUCGGCUCAACCGUAAAAUUGCAGUUGAAACUGGCAGUCUUGAGUACAGUAGAGGUGGGCGGAAUUCGUGGUGUAGCGGUGAAAUGCUUAGAUAUCACGAAGAACUCCGAUUGCGAAGGCAGCUCACUGGACUGCAACUGACACUGAGGCUCGAAAGUGUGGGUAUCAAACAGGAUUAGAUACCCGUGUAGUC
rnacentral:rRNA from 1 species